CUAGCAUAUCAAUAAGCGGAGGAAAAGAAACUAACAAGGAUUCCCCUAGUAACUGCGAGUGAAGCGGGAAAAGCUCAAAUUUAAAAUCUGGCAGUCUUUGGCUGUCCGAGUUGUAAUCUAGAGAAGUAUUAUCCGCGCUGGACCGUGUACAAGUCUCCUGGAAUGGAGCGUCAUAGAGGGUGAGAAUCCCGUCUUUGACACGGACUGCCAGGGCUUUGUGAUAUGCUCUCAAAGAGUCGAGUUGUUUGGGAAUGCAGCUCAAAAUGGGUGGUAAAUUCCAUCUAAAGCUAAAUAUUGGCGAGAGACCGAUAGCGAACAAGUACCGUGAGGGAAAGAUGAAAAGAACUUUGGAAAGAGAGUUAAACAGUACGUGAAAUUGCUGAAAGGGAAACGCUUGAAGUCAGUCGCGUUGGCCAGGGAUCAACCUUGCUUUUUUGCUUGGCUUACUUUCUGGUCGAUGGGUCAGCAUCAAUUUUGACCGGUGGAAAAAGUUCAAAGGAAUGUGGCAUCUUCGGAUGUGUUAUAGCCUUUGUUCACAUACAUUGGUUGGGAUUGAGGAACUCAGCACGCCGCAAGGCCGGGUUUUUAACCACGUACGUGCUUAGGAUGCUGGCAUAAUGGCUUUAAUCGACCCGUCUUGAAACACGGACCAAGGAGUCUAACAUGCCUGCGAGUAUUUGGGUGAAAAACCCGAGUGCGUAAUGAAAGUGAAAGUUGAGAUCCCUGUCGUGGGGAGCAUUGACGCCCGGAUCUGACCUUUUGUGACGAUUCUGCGGUAGAGCAUGUAUGUUGGGACCCGAAAGAUGGUGAACUAUGCCUGAAUAGGGUGAAGCCAGAGGAAACUCUGGUGGAGGCUCGUAGCGAUUCUGACGUGCAAAUCGAUCGUCAAAUUUGGGUAUAGGGGCGAAAGACUAAUCGAACCAUCUAGUAGCUGGUUCCUGCGA
rnacentral:rRNA from 1 species